GAGGGGGUAGCUCAGUGGUAGAGCGCAUGCCUAGCAUGCACGAGGUCCUAGGUUCAAUCCCCAGCUCCUCCA
rnacentral:tRNA from 1 species